UACGGGGGGGGUAAGCGUUGUUCGGAAUUACUGGGCGUAAAGGGCUCGUAGGCGGCCAACUAAGUCAUACGUGAAAUCCCUCAGCUUAACUGGGGAACUGCGUGUGAUACUGGAUGGCUUGGAUUUGGGAGAGGGAUGCGGAAUUCCAGGUGUAGCGGUGAAAUGCGUAGAUAUCUGGAGGAACACCGGUGGCGAAGGCGGCAUCCUGGACCAAGAUUGACGCUGAGGAGCGAAAGCCAGGGGAGCAAACGGG
rnacentral:rRNA from 1 species